rnacentral:lncRNA from 1 species
UUUUAAAAUACUGCAGUAGCUCCCACUGCAUGUACAGUCUCCAGUAAUUAUAUUAUGAUGUUGCAGGGCCAGAGUGAAAGAGUGAGAAACAAAAAUUCACCAGAAGCUCAGUCUUGAAUGGCAGCAUCUCCAGAGUUAUGGACUGAUACCACUGGCAAGAGAACAGCAUGGUAUUAGAAGACACUAGAAUUCCAUGUGUGUCUAGUUUUGAGGUACUCACGCAGCUCUGUCAAUUCAUCUCAAGACACAGUGAAUUAAUCUUGGAUAACAAAG